AUUGAACGCUGGCGGCAUGCCUUACACAUGCAAGUCGAACGGCAGCAUAGAGAGCUUGCUCUCUGAUGGCGAGUGGCGAACGGGUGAGUAAAGCAUCGGAACGUACCGUGUAGUGGGGGAUAACGUAGCGAAAGUUACGCUAAUACCGCAUACGUACUGAGGUAGAAAGCAGGGGAUCGUAAGACCUUGCGCUAUACGAGCGGCCGAUGUCAGAUUAGCUAGUUGGUAGGGUAAAGGCCUACCAAGGCGACGAUCUGUAGCGGGUCUGAGAGGACGAGCGGCCACACUGGGACUGAGACACGGCCCAGACUCCUACGGGAGGCAGCAGUGGGGAAUUUUGGACAAUGGGGGCAACCCUGAUCCAGCAAUGCCGCGUGAGUGAAGAAGGCCUUCGGGUUGUAAAGCUCUUUUGUCAGGGAAGAAGCACCGGCUCUAACACAGUCCGGGAAUGACGGUACCUGAAGAAUAAGCACCGGCUAACUACGUGCCAGCCGCCGCAGUAA
rnacentral:rRNA from 1 species